GACGAACGCUGGCGGCGUGCUUAACACAUGCAAGUCGAACGGUGAACCUCUUCGGAGGGGAUCAGUGGCGAACGGGUGAGUAACACGUGGGCAACCUGCCCCCGGCUCUGGGAUAACUCCAAGAAAUUGGGGCUAAUACCGGAUGUUCACCGCUUCCCGCAUGGGUGGUGGUGGAAAGGGUUUCCGGCUGGGGAUGGGCCCGCGGCCUAUCAGCUUGUUGGUGGGGUAGUGGCCUACCAAGGCGACGACGGGUAGCCGGCCUGAGAGGGUGACCGGCCACGCUGGGACUGAGACACGGCCCAGACUCCUACGGGAGGCAGCAGUGGGGAAUAUUGCGCAAUGGGCGGAAGCCUGACGCAGCGACGCCGCGUGGGGGAUGACGGCCUUCGGGUUGUAAACCUCUUUCAGCAGGGACGAAGCGCAAGUGACGGUACCUGCAGAAGAAGCACCGGCCAACUACGUG
rnacentral:rRNA from 1 species